rnacentral:misc_RNA from 1 species
UUAAUGUCACGGUACCCAAUUUUCUGCCCCGGACUCCACGGC